rnacentral:lncRNA from 1 species
GUUUUUGAAAAUUGGCUAUGAUUUAUUAUCCUAGGCAUGUGAUUAAAAAAAACAUGGACUACAACCUGUGGUUCUGCAGAGGGAGACAGUCUAUAGCAGGAGUCCUUUCCUUGGAAACAUCCCAACAGUUAAACAUGAAGGCAAUGAAAAGAGGUUAUUCAAGAGGUCCAUGAGUACCAAACUGUAGUUUCAACGUGGAUGAAGAAUAGCAACUCUUGGAGAUAAGUAUUUGUCAUCCAUGAUAGUUUCCUUCUCACUGGUGUUGAAACUCUGCUACUUCUUAUCAGUUAGGUCAGCUCAAGAUAUUCCUCCAAUGUUUAAGUUGAUUCAAAUUAGAUGCUUAGUCACUGGGAGAAAAGAGGAAAAAAACCCAAACAAACAAGGAGGAGUCAGUGUAUGGGAAGAGAAGACUACAGCCAUCAUUUCAAGAGAGAAAAAUGGCUCCCCAGCUCCAUAGCCAGGCUGACAAUCAAGGAACAAGAGAAUGUAGGAUCUUGGGAGUCCUCCCCUGCAAGCCCCAGUUUCAUGUCAUCCUGCCAGGUGGGUUCCAGAGAAGCUGGGACUCAGAGCUUGCCGCAGCCUGGUAGGGCCAUGCAUCUGGGAACCCCAUGUUUCUGGAAGCUCCUGCUGCUGGUAGGCUCCGGAAUGAGAUGCUGUGAAGCUGGAAUUUUGGUUGCUAAUGUCUGACACAAAACAGGAACUACUAUCUGACCUGCAAUAAAACCAACAUCUCCUCAGGGUGCUUCUUUGUU